AUAUGAUUUUUAAAUUAUGUGAAUACAGCAGUGGAUGCUGGGCCUUUGAGCAGGAGGUGCAGAGAGUGUGCAGUUCUUGCGGUUGUUAAGUGUGUGCUUAUCUCUAAUUAAAUCUGUGUGUUUCCAUAGACAGUGAUCCCAUCGGGCUUUCGAGUUGGUAUGAAGCUUGAGGCAGUAGACAAAAAGAAUCCCUCAUUCAUCUGUGUUGCUACGGUAACAGAUAUGGUGGACAAUCGUUUCCUGGUACAUUUUGACAACUGGGAUGAGAGCUAUGACUAUUGGUGUGAAGCAUCAAGUCCACAUAUUCAUCCAGUUGGUUGGUGUAAAGAACAUAGAAGAACCCUUAUUACUCCACCAGGUUAUCCAAAUGUGAAACAUUUUUCUUGGGAUAAAUACUUAGAAGAAACCAAUUCUUUACCUGCUCCUGCAAGAGCUUUCAAAGUGAAACCUCCUCAUGGAUUCCAGAAAAAAAUGAAGCUUGAGGUUGUAGACAAAAGGAACCCUAUGUUUAUUAGAGUAGCAACUGUGGCAGACACAGAUGAUCACCGGGUAAAAGUUCACUUUGAUGGCUG
rnacentral:sRNA from 1 species